rnacentral:rRNA from 1 species
UACGUAGGGUGCAAGCGUUGUCCGGAAUUAUUGGGCGUAAAGAGCUCGUAGGCGGUCUGUCGCGUCGGCUGUGAAAACUCGGGGCUCAACUCCGAGCUUGCAGUCGAUACGGGCAGGCUAGAGUUCGGCAGGGGGAGACUGGAAUUCCUGGUGUAGCGGUGAAAAUGCGCAGAUAUCAGGAGGAACACCGGUGGCGAAGGCGGGUCUCUGGGCCAUUACUGACGUGAGGAGCGAAAGCGUGGGGGAGCGAACAGG